CAAACCAAUCAGCACAAUAACACUUGUAUCCAAAUUCGCCAAUUGAACCAGAAGUCUCUCCCAGCUUGCAGACACCGCUGUUCUGGCAGGGAUUGGGAUCGCAUGAACCUGAAUCACAAGAGAAAAACAGGGAGCUCAUAACUCGCAUAAGCCCUGGUUUUUCUGUGAGCCUCUCGCCUUGCCAUUUCGCCCUGUAUUUGUUGUAUGUUAGUCCAAUUGUAAUUAUGGCUAACAAAUAAACUGAAUCCAGUGCAAUAAAUAAUUCUUCGAUGUUCUCUA